rnacentral:rRNA from 1 species
UACGAAGGGGGCUAGCGUUGUUCGGAAUUACUGGGCGUAAAGGGCGCGUAGGCUGUGCUGUAAGUCAGGCGUGAAAGGCCCGGGCUCAACCUGGGAACUGCGCAUGAUACUGCGGCGCUUGAAGACGGGAGAGGAUGGCGGAAUUCCCAGUGUAGAGGUGAAAUUCGUAGAUAUUGGGAAGAACACCGGUGGCGAAGGCGGCCAUCUGGCCCGUGAUUGACGCUGAGGCGCGAAAGCGUGGGGAGCAAACAGG